AAUGUAUCGAGCGACUCGAACAAUUGGAAUAUCCGAGAAAGUUGUAAAAUGUCGCCUCGAGGACAUUGAUCUAAAUCUAAUCUUCAUAUUCUAUUUAUAUACUACUUAAGAUGCUGUAUCGGGAUUGUCAUUGUCAAACGAAUUUUAUCGGGGAUAUUUGACGAGAAUCUAUUACGGGAAUAUCUCGGCAACCUUCCAUCUGAAUUAUCAAAGAUGAUUUCUACAUGAGCAGAAAUCACCCUGGGUCCAGUUCCUUCAUGAAGAAGCCCUUGACGCUGUUCUGGUCAAACAUCACCGAGAACCGCCAUUUCCAAGAAUUAUGAUGCUGGCCAGCGCAGUGAUACCAACUUAAAGAAAUAUAUCGAAUAUUCUCCAUUGAAUCCUCCUAGAUUUCGGCGGGAGAAUAUUCGCUCAUAGUCAUAGGAAAUUUUUUUAAGCGGAAGAAU